CGGUCUUAAAGGCGUAAGAAUUG
rnacentral:siRNA from 1 species